GUUGUGGUGGACGAGUGGUUAAGGCGAUAGACUAGAACUCUUUUGGGAUCUUCCCGCGCAGGUUCGAAUCCUGUCGACAACG
rnacentral:tRNA from 1 species